UACGUAGGGUGCGAGCGUUAAUCGGAAUUACUGGGCGUAAAGCGAGCGCAGACGGUUUGAUAAGCAGGAUGUGAAAUCCCCGGGCUUAACCUGGGAACUGCGUUCUGAACUGUCAGGCUAGAGUAUGUCAGAGGGGGGUAGAAUUCCACGUGUAGCAGUGAAAUGCGUAGAGAUGUGGAGGAAUACCGAUGGCGAAGGCAGCCCCCUGGGAUAAUACUGACGUUCAUGCUCGAAAGCGUGGGUAGCAAAC
rnacentral:rRNA from 1 species